CGUCUCAGUUCAGAUUGCAGGCUGCAACUCGCCUGCAUGAGGUCGGAAUUGCUAGUAAUCGCAGAUCAGCAUGCUGCGGUGAAUACGUUCCCGGGCCUUGUACACACCGCCCGUCACACCAUGGGAGUCGGUAACACCCGAAGUCGGUAGCCUAACCGUAAGGAGGGCGCCGCCGAAGGUGGGAUUGAUGACUGGGGUGAAGUCGUAACAAGGUAAC
rnacentral:rRNA from 1 species